UCUCUCUGCGUGCACCCGCUUCUUUCCGGAAUUUACCGUGACGGUUCUCUUCUCUACCCUCCUUCUUUCACGGGUGAACUUGCUGCUCCAGCGUGACACAGCACUUUAAGGGACUGGCUGGGCUCCUCCGAGCAGACUGCUGGUGUGGGUUCUCAGUGUGGCCAGAGUGACGCAGUUGUGACCCUGAGCAGACCGUGAACUCCCGUUCCCUCAGUUUUCCUUUCUGUAAAAUGAGCAUCAAGAUGGUCCCUAACUCCUGGUGGUGGUAUUUUGAGGAUUAAAUAAAGUGCCUGUACAUUGAUGGGGCCAGUGCUCGGCACAUGGUGGUAGAGCCUGGAACAGAGAAGCAGGCCAUUUGCGUUGAUACAGGAUUGCCUGUUGCAGGCUGGGUUUGGAAGACUGGGGAUUGGGAAAGAUUCUUUCUUCUCCUUCAAGAAUCCUGUGCAUAUCAUUACUGAAAAAAAAAAAAAAAGAAGAAGAAGAUGAAGAAGAAGGAGGAAAGAACAUGACCCUCAUCUCACUUCUUACAACAAAACCAGCCGUACAACUUCUAGAAGAAGAUGUUGGAGAUCAUCUUUGCAACCUUUGGGGCAGGUAUUUCUUAGGACACAGAAGUCACUAACUAGACAAUAAAAAGCUAAUAAAUUUGACUUCAUUAAAAU
rnacentral:lncRNA from 1 species